rnacentral:lncRNA from 1 species
UUGGGGAAGCAGGCAGGUUGGGGAUGAAGAGUUAACAGCUAUAACCCAGAUCAGAUGAAGAAAGCGACACCUCACUGUUCAGCCAAGUGCUUCCUCCUUCUUCCUUGGGAUCUGCCUGCCUUCCAGCCUUCCUCCAAGGCUUCUCCUUGCCUCUCCUAUUGGCUGUCUCACUCUGAGGCAGGAAGAGAAAUCUGGUCGGUGGCUGACUUAGCUCCCUGGGUCCCUGAGACUGAGAUGGGACAGAGCCUACAAAUGAUGCUCAGGUGGUUCCAGCUGCUGAGUGGGCAGCAGGUCGGGAGCAGGAGCUUGCUGGGAACUUUGCCCAAGGUGCCUUCUCUGGUCCUGACUCCAUUUCCUGUUCUGCAUCCACCUCCACGGCUGUCAUUUAUUCCCUAA